AGCAGGUAUAUACCACCUCCAACUCACCGUCGCUCACUAAAGGUCUCCAAAGGGAAUGCUUUGCUUCUUGGUGGACUCUGCCACAAGACCGAAGUUCAGCGGACAGGGUCACUGCUGCACACAUGGAGCAAGGCAGCAAACAAAAAUUGUUCCACGGACUUUCGACACGCAGGGGCAUCUCCACAAUCUACAGACGUGCAUUCUCCCACUCCUACUGUUCUGUCAGCAUCACGACCUUUGGGAAGCAAAGACAAGGGGUAAGGAAAGGAACCAGCACAUGUAGAAUUUGGGGUUUAAUCUCUCAAGCCGGGCAGGAAGAUCUGAAUCAGCAUACCAGAGUCACAAUUAUCCAGCUGAAACUGAGAAUCUGGGCUCCCAAGGUUAGGCUGAGAUUAAGAAUUCCUAGUCUUAGUAUGUGUUACUGUGUAAGUGGUAUUUUGACAUAAAGCGAUAUAUUUACAAAUAUAAAUAAAGAGCCUAAAUU